rnacentral:rRNA from 1 species
UACAGAGGUCUCAAGCGUUGUUCGGAUUCAUUGGGCGUAAAGGGUGCGUAGGUGGCGCCAUAAGUCAGGUGUGAAAUCUCGGGGCUCAACCUCGAAACUGCACUUGAUACUGUGGUGCUUGAGUACUGGAGAGGAGAUUGGAAUUUACGGUGUAGCAGUGAAAUGCGUAGAUAUCGGGAGGAACACCAGUGGCGAAGGGCGGCG